rnacentral:rRNA from 9 species
AGACCCGAAACCCGGUGAUCUAGCCAUGGGCAGGUUGAAGGUUGGGUAACACUAACUGGAGGACCGAACCGACUAAUGUUGAAAAAUUAGCGGAUGACCUGUGGCUGGGGGUGAAAGGCCAAUCAAACCGGGAGAUAGCUGGUUCUCCCCGAAAGCUAUUUAGGUAGCGCCUCGUGAAUUCAUCUCCGGGGGUAGAGCACUGUUUCGGCUAGGGGGCCAUCCCGGCUUACCAACCCGAUGCAAACUGCGAAUACCGGAGAAUGUUAUCACGGGAGACACACGGCGGGUGCUAACGUCCGUCGUGAAGAGGGAAACAACCCAGACCGCCAGCUAAGGUCCCAAAGUCAUGGUUAAGUGGGAAACGAUGUGGGAAGGCCCAGACAGCCAGGAUGUUGGCUUAGAAGCAGCCAUCAUUUAAAGAAAGCGUAAUAGCUCACUGGUCGAGUCGGCCUGCGCGGAAGAUGUAACGGGGCUAAACCAUGCACCGAAGCUGCGGCAGCGACACUCAGGUGUUGUUGGGUAGGGGAGCGUUCUGUAAGCCUGUGAAGGUGGCCUGUGAGGG